rnacentral:rRNA from 1 species
UGCUCUAAGUAAAAACAAUUUAGAGUAACUCCUGCCCAGUGAUAAUUUCAACGGCCGCGGUAUCCUAACCGUGCAAAGGUAGCAUAAUCACUUGCCCAUUAAUUGUGGGCUAGAAUGAAAGGAUUAACGAAAUAAAAGCUGUCUCUAUAAGAUAUCUAAAAAUUACCCUUUAACCGAAGAGUGUUAAAUAACGUCGAAGGACAAGAAGACCCUAUAGAGCUUAAUUAAAACAAAUACACAAAAUUUACUAAAAUUCGGUUGGGGCGACCAGGGAAAUUAUAAAUCAUCCCUAAAUAAAAGAUAAAUCAAUCUAAAUACUGACCCUUAAUCAAGAUCACUAGAACAAGCUACCUUAGGGAUAACAGGCUAAUCCUACUAGAGAGUUCUUAUCAAUAGUGGGGUUUGGCACCUCGAUGUUGGCUUAGGGAAUCUAUGCGGCGCAAAAGUCACAUAAAGAUGGUUUGUUCAACCAAUAACACCCU